rnacentral:tRNA from 1 species
GCCUGGGUAGCUCAGUGGUAGAGCGUCCGAUUCGUAAUCGGAAUGUCGCCGGUUCAAGUCUGGCUCCGGGCU